rnacentral:lncRNA from 1 species
CCAUCACAACCACCCCUGCCACCACCAGAAUAUAAGCAGUAGCUGAAUAUGUGCUAGAAGAGAGCAGGCUGAUGUAGUCGCUCUUCUUAGCCAGGGUCCAGGCGCCCACUGCCAUCACAGCCCCGCCAGCCAGCCAGAAAAAAAAGUUGAAGAUGAAAAGCAGGUACUUGAGACAGAUAGUCCCACAUGUUUCUUUCUUCUCAGUAUAUUCACGCAUCUUUCUGGCUUAGCAAAUUCCUUUCCCUACCAAAGCACUCCACAGAACCACUGCAGAUCUUCAGCACUCUUCAAAAGCUUCCUUUUCACCUCUGGCUCCGGUCCCCUGCUGGAUCUGGGAAAGCAGACAGCCCUCAGCGGCAGCGCGCCGGACCGCCGUGCUCCGCGCCGCCUCGCGCCCCGACCUGCCGAGCGGAGAGGGAGGGAGGGA